rnacentral:rRNA from 1 species
UACAGAGGGUGCGAGCGUUAAUCGGAAUUACUGGGCGUAAAGCGUGCGUAGACGGUUAUUUAAGUCGGAUGUGAAAGCCCCGGGCUCAACCUGGGAAUUGCAUUCGAGACUGAAUAGCUAGGGUACGGUAGAGGGAAGCGGAAUUUCCGGUGUAGCGGUGAAAUGCGCAGAUAUCGGGAGGAACACCAAUGGCGAAGGCAGCUCGCUGGGACGUUACUGACGCUGAGACGCGAAAGCGUGGGGAGCAAACAGG